AUGGCAAAGGGAGAGGGACUUAAGUGAGAGUGAAAACACAAGUAACCUACUGUAUGGCAGGUGGAGGGGCAGUGAUGUUACAGGUGGAGGAGCAAAACUGCAAGACUGCAAACUCACAAGACAGAGAAAUCAAAGUUUGUUCUCCAGAGAAGAGGUUGAUUUCACUUCAUUUAUUUCAUAUUUUCUAAAGAUGUGGAAAUGGCAAAAAAAAAAACUUGAGAGCUGUAACCAAGACAACUGUAACAACAUGAGUAGAGAGCCACCAAGGUUUUUCAAGUCCCUCUCUUACUCCAUUUUGCCAACCCAAACUUCCAGUGUCCUUAUUCCUGGAAGGGGAAUCUGCAAUUCCUGCAGAGUUUUGUAACCCGUUGGUCCGCACGCAAAGCGAAUUUUUAAAGCCUUCUUAAUUGUCUCAUUGCUCCAUUUCAUCCCCUUUGUGGUGAGUCUGCCUAAUGCCUUAAG